AACGCAAAUUGCGCCCUUUGGUAUUCCGAAGGGCAUGCCUGUUUGAGUGUCAUAUAGACUUCAUCUACUCGGGUUUCCGAGCUGGGUGCUUUGGACGUCUGCCAAUUGCUGGCUCGUCUUAAAUGUCUAAGUGGAAUGCGUAAUAAGCUUUUCGUAACCUCCACUCUAAUAUCACACUUUAGCUCUGACCUCAAAUCAGGUAGGACUACCCGCUGAACUUAA
rnacentral:misc_RNA from 1 species